AUUGAAAUACCAGUUUCUGUACGAUCACUAAUGUUAAGCAACAUUGAGCCUGGUCAGUACUUCGAUGGGUGACUGUCUGAGAAUACCAGGUGCUGUAAG